rnacentral:rRNA from 1 species
AACGAACGCUGGCGGCAGGCUUAACACAUGCAAGUCGAACGCCCCGCAAGGGGAGUGGCAGACGGGUGAGUAACGCGUGGGAAUCCACCCAGAUCUUCGGAACAACUGAGGGAAACUUCAGCUAAUACCGGAUACGCCCUACGGGGGAAAGAUUUAUCGGUUCUGGAUGAGCCCGCGUUGGAUUAGCUAGUUGGUGAGGUAAAGGCGCACCAAGGCGACGAUCCAUAGCUGGUCUGAGAGGAUGGGCAGCCACACUGGGACUGAGACACGGCCCAGACUCCUACGGGAGGCAGCAGUGGGGAAUAUUGGACAAUGGGCGAAAGCCCGAUCCAGCCAUGCCGCGUGAGUGAUGAAGGCCUUAGGGUUGUAAAGCUCUUUCAGUGGGGAAGAUAAUGACGGUACCCACAGAAGAAGCCCCGGCUAACUUCGUGCCAGCCGCCGCAGUAACAC